rnacentral:lncRNA from 1 species
ACGGCCUUCAACAAUGAGCAAAGCCCAUACCGCAUAGUCAGCUAUAAAAGGCCCCGACAAGACAAUGUAAAACAAUUCAAACGAGAAAACUAACGGCCUUAUUUCUGUAAAAAAAAUUGAACGAAAAACAAAUAUGUAACACAUAAACAAACGACAACCACUGAAUUACAGGCUCCUGACUUGGGACAGGCACAUACAUAAAUAAUGUGGCGGG